CUCUUGCACCCCAACCCCCUGUCCCAGCCCAGUGUGAGUGAGUGAGGGUGGGGAAGAAUGAGUGACUGAGAAAGGGGGAUGGAGCAAAUGGGAGCGGGGCCUCAGAGGAGGGGCGGGGCAUGGGCAGGGCCUCAGAGAAGGCACAGGGCAGGGGCAUUCCCUUUUGUGUGAUUAGCAAGUUGGCAGCCCUAACAGUGACCCCAUAUUACAAGCGAAAGACAGUUUAAGAACAUAAAGAAAAGGAGGGUGGUUGCCGCUCCCUGGCUUAAGAAGCCCUGGGACAGUGAAUGAAACCCCCUCCUCUAGCCAUUUUCUUUCUGGAGGAGAGGAAAAAUGGAUGAGUGCUGCCCUGGAGAUGGGCCAGCAGGGGGUGGGCUAUUUCCACCAUAGUACUUGCAGCAAUACAGUCCCCCAGCACCUGACUCAGGGUCCCCAGUGAUAAUUGUCCAGGUUAAGAGCGCAGACGCCUUAUCUGGACACGCAGAAGAGAGUAAUAAUAAAUACUGUAGUUCAUGUGCAAAAGCUCCACGGUGUUUUCACAUGUCACCUGUUAAACUAAAUGCUGCGGAAAACGUGGAUGAUUAGAACUCUGCUCCUAAAACAACAGAAGGGCAAUUUUAAAGCACAUACCUCACUUUUGCUUAAAAAUACUAUAUAACUCCCUUAGGGUUAUUCAGAAGCCAAAUCUGAAAGACAGCCACAAAAGGCAGUGACUCUCUGCAACAAGCCCUGUACCCUAAAAUACCGACCGGCGUAUUACGAGCUGCCUUUUAAAAGCACUUUACGUACGAAGGUAUUUUUGGACCCUGUCCAAACGGGUGAAAGACAACGCAUCGCCUCUGACCAUGUAGUGACCACUCUGCAGCCCCGCGUGGUUUAAUGUUUCAUGUUCUGCACACGGACAAACCCCCCACCCCUCUGGCAGACAGUGACGGGCUAACCCAGUCACUAGGGCAGCUUCACCCACUGCAACCCAAAAUUGUCUUGGCCAAGAUCAUGCAACAAACAUCCCUCCCCGCCCCUGCCUUGCUCUGGAAACCAACCACCGGCUGCCCAGGGAGCGGAAAACAAAAAGCACCACGAGCGCAACUCACAAGCGAGCGGGACCGGGCCAGCGGGGAUGGUCGGGGACGGUGUUAAAGGCGCCGCUCGUGUGUUGCUCUUCGGGGAGAGGGGAGGAGGUGGGGCUGCAGGGAGGGGUGGCUGCGAAUGAAAGCAGGGAGCGGGGCAAGAGAACAAGAGCCGGGCUCCUGGGUGCAGGACCCUGGGGAGGGCAGACGAGGCGCUUCCACUUGCAGCGCCCCUACCCCCAGAGCCGCCGCUGCCUUAGCUUCACACUGGCAACAAGCGCGCCGAGAAAUUUAACCCUCUCGGCGCUGCAGCCCCGGCCUGCGCUCCCCGCUCUGCCCCCUCUGCGCUCCGUGGGGGGCGGCCGAUUGGCCUUUGGCUGCAACUCGCACCCGCAGGCUGGACGGGGCCCAGCCCGGCCCCAGCACAAAGCGGGGUUUGUUGCUCUGAACGGCUUAUGCCGGCUCCUGCUAAUUUCUUUCAAGUGGCGCUGGACAGCCAGCCCUUGCCGAGCCAAGUUGGAAAGCAGGGAAGCGCUUGGAACUAAAAUUACUGCAAAACAUGGACACCAGCAAACACCUCUUCAGGUUGCUGAGUUCACUGAAGUUUGGCCCAUUGUGGGAUCAUAAUGAAGAUGAAAAAAAAUGGUAAAACUGGUGAAUUCAGACCACUGAGCUACUGAGAAAUUCAAACUGUUCCCACCUUGCGAAAGAACCAUUGGAAACUACAGCAAAGCCUUAAGCACCUUCUUCAAAUGGACAUCUGAAAGUUCUGCUCUGCAAGCCAUUUUGGAUAAGAUUCUAAGAUAGCAGGAAGCUGGAUGGGGAAGAAGGAGAAAUGUUAGCAGCAGAAGAAUGCUGACAAGAAGGAACUACUUGGGAAAUAAGAUGCAAAAUGGCCUUUCCAGAAGAGAGAGACUUGGAAAACUGGCUUUAAUAUUUUGUGAGCUCCCAAAUGAAUGUACUCUUAUGAAUUCCCUAAAGUCAGCUCACUUCCAUUGCCCACUGGGUCAAGUCUUUCGGAUGAACAUGAAUGAAUACUAACAACACGUGCACCAAAUUCAUACCUUGAUAUGUCAUUGGUGUCUUCAAAAGGCUUGUGAGUGUCACGAGGAACUUUAGAGGCAUCCAGGAGAUCCUCCUCCUGAUUUAUAUAUGCUGGUAUGCAUCUCUAAGAUAAUGCAACCCUAAGAUAAUCUUAAAUGCUUUUGUCACACGUGCUCAGAACGCCAAGUCCAGUUCGUCAGGUUCAUGUUAUUUGGCUGCAGUUACAGUGGGUACAUAGACAUUGCAACUUUUUAAGAAUAGUUCCCAUUCACUCAGGGUAAGGACAGUCAGUCAUUUGUGACUUGAUAGCGGUGAGGACCAAUUUGAAUGGCAGGAAUACCUGAGUUUUAAAAAUAUAUAUAUAUUGAGUCCGUCAGUGUGCUUGGCACUGUGAAAACGUGGAAGAACUCAUGGUCCCGCUCUCUAGCAGCUUACAGUCGAAGGCCCCAGGGCUGCCCAGAACUCUAUGUAAGUGGAUCUCUACACCUGUACUGGAAACAUUGCAGAAUAGGCACCUUGCACCAUAUUUACAUAGUUAUUUAGGUGCUGAAAAAUGCCAAUAGGUGCCUUUUGGAUUUUACAAAAGUAUGUGAGUAGGUUAUGUGCCUAAAUAUCUUUGAGGAGAUGGGCCCUGUUCCUGUGCUCAAUGGGCGUUAGGUGCCUACCCUCUUAUGGGGCUUCUGUAAAUCUCAGCCAGGCACUUUUGUGAAUCCCACCUCCCUCUUUAUGUGCCUACAUACCUUUGUAAAUCUGGGCCCUAGUUCUGACACACAGUUCUGUUCAGAUACAAACUCUCUGGAUGAUGUUUCCAAUGUGCAGCACAGCAGAUCUUGGGGAGCGAGCAGUGCUGAAAGCAAGGCUUUGUGGAAGAAGCAUGUGUUUGAGGAGGAAAUUGAAAGACAAAUUGGUAUGGGAGACAUUUGUAAAUGUAAGGGACAUGAGAAAGGAAGAAGAUGAAAAUGCAAAGAUAAAAGGGAGUGAUUGAGGGCUAUUACAGAAGAAAAGUUAUGGUAGCCGACGUGGGAUUGUCUAUUUAUUUUUGAAAUGUAGGUGACUAUUUCCCCUCCUUCUAAUCAUUAUUGUAAUCUCUUUCUAAGAGUGAAAAGUACCCAGGAUAAUAUUUCAAUAUGUUCUGCAGUUUUCCAUUAGUUCCCUGUACCGGGAUGGUCACCCGCUCCUGCCCUGAAAGGGCUUGAAGCCAGCCCUGGGAGAGGGCUGGGGCUGCGAGCUAAAGGCUUGCUGAUUGGGGAAGCAGCCGCAGCUGGGCCAUGCCCCAAUCAGACUGCAGCUGGCCCUAUAAAAGCCAGUGAAGCCAGGAGCUGAGAGGAGUCUUUCUCUGGCUGCUUGGGAGCAGAGCAAAGUACCUAGAGUGGAGCAGGGCUGGGGGAAAGGCUAGAGGAGCCGGGGGAGCUCCAGCCUGGAAAACCCCCAGGCUGCAGGCCUUUGAUGAAAGGACAGGAAGGGUACUGGGGUUGCAGAGGUGCAGCCCAGGGUAAGCCAAGACAGUAGGUGCAAACCCCCCUUGCUGGUGAUGAGUAGCACUUACACUGCAGUCUGCCCCAGGGAACGGGGGCUAGGUGAUGACUGGCAGUGGCCAUAGACUGAGAUGAGGUGGGGAUAGAGGGUAGGGGUUCUCUGGGGAGGGGAGACCUAGAUCUGUGGGGGUACUGCCAGGCAGCAGCACCCUGGCCUGAAAAGGGCACCGGGGUCCAGGAGAGACUCGGGCCCAGUGGCAAGCGGGAUACCGGCCUGCAGAGGGCGCUCUGGAGGCUGGAAACGCUAAUUCCCAGGGUGAGUCGCUGCAGGGUGACAUCUCCAAUGAGUGUAGCUACAUGGGUGGGCUUCAGUGCACUCAAAGCUUAGGUCUGUAGAACAGUACAGAUGAGUAUCAUUUUAUUUUGGAAUAUUAUAUUGAAAUGAAAUGAAUUAGUCUAAUGAUCAUAAUAAAAAUUAGGACAAGAUUGUCUCUCCUAUUCCAGCUGCUUUAUGUUGGAUUAAAGGGCUGGAACAGUGUAAUGGGACCGUUCCUCCAGGUUAGACAACUUGGCUGUAGUUUUAUGUCAGGUCAGUGCUUGGUGGAACCUUAAUAAUUCUCAGUGUUUUGACACAGAGCUGAAACAGCAGCUCUGAUUCUUGAGACUGCCAACUGCACAAAAUGGAACUGAAACAAUUCAGUGAAUUAUUUGAACAUAACUGAAAAGUCCUCAAUUUUCUCUGACAUCUUCAGAAUAAGCUAUGAAGCAAGGUUGCGUACCUGAGUACGAAAGCCCAAUGAAAUUCAAAGGCAAUAACUAGAAGUCUGAUGUACUCUUUUACAUAAUGCAAAAUAAAUCAUGGAACUCACAGUUGUGGGAAAUUGUGCCGGGCGGGGGACGGGGGACACAGUUAAUUAUUUAAUGACCGUAGACAGAUUAAAAAAGUUAAAGCUUUUUAAAUCAUUCACACAAAUUGUCAACAGCACAUGUCAAAAUAUACAAAGUAAAUAGCCUUAAAUCAACAAAUGGUAUCUGUUUUUACUUGUUAUUCACUAGUUCAUUUGUAACAAGCUGAAUACGAAAGUCUACUCUAAAUCACUGGAUUUUUACUCUACUAAGUUUUCAAGAAGCAUUUUUCUUACUUUGUCUAUCUGUGUAUUUAGAUUGUUGUCAAUGGAAAUAUUUGUUCAUUAAUUUGUGUGUACAGUGAAAUCGAUGUUUACUGACAUUUACCAAUAAAA